rnacentral:rRNA from 1 species
AUUGAGCGCUGGCGGCAUGCUUUACACAUGCAAGUCGAACGGCAGCGCGGGCUUCGGCCUGGCGGCGAGUGGCGAACGGGUGAGUAAUAUAUCGGGACGUACCCAAGAGUGGGGGAUAACGUAGCGAAAGUUACGCUAAUACCGCAUACGAUCUAAGGAUGAAAGCAGGGGACCGCAAGGCCUUGUGCCCCUGGAGCGGCCGAUAUCUGAUUAGCUAGUUGGUGAGGUAAAGGCUCACCAAGGCAACGAUCAGUAGCUGGUCUGAGAGGACGACCAGCCACACUGGAACUGAGACACGGUCCAGACUCCUACGGGAGGCAGCAGUGGGGAAUUUUGGACAAUGGGGGCAACCCUGAUCCAGCAAUGCCGCGUGAGUGAAGAAGGCCUUCGGGUUGUAAAGCUCUUUUGUCAGGGAAGAAAAGGCUGUGGCUAAUAUCCACAGCUGCUGACGGUACCUGAAGAAUAAGCACCGGCUAACUACGUGCCAGCCGCCGCCGUAACAC